UUGUUUCUAUCUGUAGAUAAUAAAAUAUCACAAAUAAAAAAUAAUAGGCAGUGUGUUGAAAACAAAAACAUAAAAACGCACCAGUGAACUUUUACUGCGAGCAAAUUGAUUUUUAUGUCUGAAUUGUCCGUUAGGAAGUGAAAAAAUAUUGUGAUUUCUUCACGGCAGAUUCAGAUGUCAAAUGAACUGACGUAGGUUAAAUCUUGAUUACAGUUUUGACAACAUCUUUUUCAUCUAUUUACGUAACUUAAAAACAUUAAAACAUGUUUUAUGGUGUUAGAAUUAUCGUAGAAAUUAAAUGAAUAAAGAUAUAUAUUUUGUUAUCAAUGUCUAAUUAGUAAAUAAUACAAAAUUGUUACUUGAUUUAAAUAUUAUUUUAUUUUGACAUAACUGGCCAUAGUAAACAGCAAACUGAAAAGUGUGACAAGAUAAGAAUUAUAUAAUAUAUUUCAAAGUAUAUAAAUACAUGAACUUAAUUCAGAUAAAUUCUCCUAUAGAAAGUGAGCCAAUAUGCCUCCUUCUUUCUUGGGAGUAGAUGCUUAAAAGCAUAACGCCACUCCUCUAAAAAACGAAGGAAAAGACCGGCACACCCGGCAUUACUCAACAAGGUGAUGUGGUAGGAACUGAUUUUUGAUAAGCACACUGUUAGUCGGAAUAGAAACAUAUAUUUUUUCCGCUGCUGACAAAUGUUUAGGCGCGAUUUUGAACAAAGAGCUUAUGUUUCAGUGACCACUGGUGUCUUUUUAAAGACCUUUGCAAGAUGAAAUCAGACUUUGUUUAUUUUAAUAAUCGUUUGGUCACCCUUGUUAAUAUGCUUUGAAUUUCUACACAUGUACAUAUACACUACAGUAGUCAGAAACUAAAGUUAUCAAAACAGUUUGACCUCAUUUUAACCAUUGACCUUGACCUAAACUGACCAAUGCUGACCAAUAAAUAAAAAACUUUAGUUUGACCAAUUAAAAAACCACAGGUUUCUAAGUUAAAAGAAAACACAUAUUUUACUUUUAAAAUAUUUUAAAAACCUUAACGAGAGCUUUACGCCCGGACUGAAAACAAUUUUCAGAAUAGUUAAAACCUCCAGUUAAAAACCAAUAUUGACUUUACUGGCUAGUUUUGUAAUCAUAUCAGCAAGCGUGAACAAAUAUCGGUUUUCCAGCAUUUAUGAGAAGGAUUUUAAUAUAGCAAUUUAUGAGAAGGAUUUAAAUAUAGAUUAUUGCACCCAGUUUUCCUGUAUUUCAUAAGAAAGUAUCACUUUAGCUGAUUGACAGCGUUAGAACGUUGUUUACAUUAAUAAGCUGCGGCUACUUUGUACGAAGGAAAGAAGGAUAAUUUAAACGACUAAAAUGGAUAACAUUUGCCAACAUUUGAUUCCAUGCAUUGUUCACCUGGAACAAUUUGUAUAUCAAAAGAAAUGGAUAUCAUAACAAACGAAGACUGAGACGAAUAAAUAGAUAAUGUAAUUACGAAGAAGGAGAGCCAAAAGUGGAUAAAUGUAUUGAAACUUUGAAAACAUUUGAUAAAUUGAUUAACUCUGACAAACGAAAUGUAAUUUAAAAUUCUACUACAAAAGGGGAAGUUUGAAAUAAUUAAAAUUAUCAUCAAAAAAGGAAGGAUUUAUGAAAACACUAGAAAAGCAUGGUUUCGCUUUUUAUCACAUUGUAACUUUUUAAUACGUUUAUAUGAUUUUGCAACAGAACAUAAUAACAUUGUAAAAUGUGCUUUAUCUAAUAAAUAUAUUUACAAAAGUUUUACAACUAUCAAACAAGUAUUUUAAGAAUUACGUUGGUAAAUGCUGUACAAACAACCGAAUCACUCAACCGUUUGAUUGUUCCACAAUCACAUGCAUUACUGAAUAUCAUAAUGUUCUCAUGUUCUUAAAGUCACUCAACCGAAGGAUUGAUCCGCAAUCACAUGCAUGACUGAAUAUCAUAAUAUUCUAAUGUUCUUAAAUACACUCAACCGUAGGAUUGUUCCACAAUCACAUGCAUGACUGAAUAUCAUAAUAUUCUCAUGUUCUUAAAAUCACUUAACCAUAAUAUUGUUCCACAAUCGCAUUGCAUGACUGAAUAUCAUAGUUUUCACACGUUACUUGUAAUUAUUCAAGUGUAGGAUUGUUAUACAAUCGCAUUGCAUGAUGGAUAUCAUAGCUUUCACACGUUACUUGUAUCUAUUCAAGCGUAGGCAAGAUUGAAAUUUUUUUUUAGGAUAUUAAUAUGUGUUAGAAAUAUCACUUAAUGAGACAUGAAAUAGGAAGUGAUUGUUUGUUCAUUAUGUUUUACAUUGUUCACUCCCAGUAUUUUAUACUAUAAAUCAUAAAUGUUUAUACCAUCUUGUAAUAUUUUUAUGAAAAAUAAACAAUAAUAACCACACAA
rnacentral:lncRNA from 1 species